AAGACUAUACUUUCAAGGAUCAUUUCUAUAGUUCGUUACUAGAGAAGUUUUAAUUUUAAAGGUCUUUGAGCCUAUUAUUCGUGAUCCUAGAGAAGCUAAAUAAGAAGACGAACCUGAUGAAGAUUAUUUAGCUAUCCGCCAGGAGGUAGGAAAUAGUCAAGAGUCCCAGGUAACCUUGGGUGCAUGGGGGAGGUGGGAGGGUUGUUGGAAGGGG